GGGUCUAUAGCUCAAUGGCAGAGCAGGUGCCUUUUAAGCACAGGGUUGGGGGUUCGAGUCCCUCUAGACCCA
rnacentral:tRNA from 1 species